rnacentral:rRNA from 1 species
GAUGAACGCUAGCGGCAGGCUUAACACAUGCAAGUCGAGGGGUAUAGGUUUUCGGACCUAGAGACCGGCGCACGGGUGCGUAACGCGUAUGCAAUCUACCUUUUACAGAGGGAUAGCCCAGAGAAAUCUGGAUUAAUACCUCAUAGUAUAAUGAUUCGGCAUCGAGACAUUAUGAAAGUUCAAACGGUAAAAGAUGAGCAUGCGUCCCAUGAGGUAGAUGGUAAGGUAACGGCUUACCAUGGCGAGGAUGGGUAGGGGUCCUGCGAGGGAGAUCCCCCACACUGGUACUGAGACACGGACCAGACUCCUACGGGAGGCAGCAGUGAGGAAUAUUGGUCAAUGGGCGCAAGCCUGAACCAGCCAUGCCGCGUGCAGGAUGACGGUCCUAUGGAUUGUAAACUGCUUUUGUACAGGAAGAAACAGUUCUACGUGUAGAACCUUGACGGUACUGUAAGAAUAAGGAUCGGCUAACUCCGUGCCAGCCGCCGCGGUAACAC